GCACUUUUAGAACCCAUGUUUAUAUUGUUAAAUUGCACUUGUCCCUCUCUCUAUCUCUGUUAACACAUUUGUGUUUGUUUGUUUAAUCCUUGUGUCUUUCAGUCUGUUUCUGCCUAUCACAAUGAGUGAUUCAGAACUUCAAGAGCAACUUUUGAACCUUGAUACUCGGAUUGAUCAAGAUUUCAAUUAUAAGCUCAAGUCUUGAUGACAACUUGGUGAUCUGCAGGAAGCAACUCCAGUAAAGACAACUGAACCAAGGGUAUGGUGGAGAAAGAGACACAUUGUGUAAGGAAGGCCAAGACCAAUCUGGAAUCAAUAAAGGCUCAUAGGAACUCCAAUCGUCCCAACUGUGAGAGGGCCUUGCUCCAGUGACUGUUGGAAGAUUUGUGGACUACAUUAACUAAUGACACUACCUCCAAAGAGUUGCAAAAAGCUGUCCAAAGUUCCAGCACCCUCUUUAAGUCCUUCAUUUUGGUGUUCCAUGCCAAAGCACAUGAGUUUUAAUGUGAGAUUGGUGAACUAUAUGAGCAUCUUAAACUAAUGCCAAAAUUUUGUUAUUGCUUUCCAGGAUAUUGGCAUACCAGGAUAGGUGUGGUUUAACUGUUGGGAAGGAGGUUGGAACAGUGCAAUGUUUCCUCUCUUGGAUUGCAGUGACCAGACAUGCUACUGUAACUCUCAUGGUCAUGUGCUGGAAUUAGCAGAUGUUCAACUAUUUGCCCAUCUCGCUGACCUGUUGAUAUCAGAAGACCACAACAGCUCUGCAAUGCAAGUUGCAAAACAGAAUCCAUGAAACUGGCAGUGACCGGAAACCAAUUGGAAGACUUUGGUUUAUGAUGUAGAGAAGUGGGCAGACGAAGCAAAGACAACAAAAAACAGAAGUGAUGUGGAUGUCUUCGCCUUAUAGCAUGACACUGUCGAUCUAACAACAACGAGAAGGGCGUUCAACAUUAUCCUGCUAGUAAGGACUCUUCAAGAGAACAGAGGAUUCUUGUGGCAGAGAUGGCCAACCAUUAUAAAUACCAAAUACCUUUCAACUCAUCCUGGUUCCUUCAGAGAACUGUCCUGCUUGUGUGCUACUGAAAAAUACGACAUGUGGCCUAAACGAAGAGGGGUUAAAAGGUCUGUGGAUCAUCAUUCUCAGAAAGCAACAAAAUAACUGAGAAAAAAAAAAC